UCUGAAGGACAAUAACUAGUUCUGGUGUU
rnacentral:piRNA from 1 species